AUGAACGCUGGCGGCGUGCCUAAUACAUGCAAGUCGAGCGAACGGACGAGAAGCUUGCUUCUCUGAUGUUGGCGGCGGACGGGUGAGUAACACGUGGAUAACCUACCUAUAAGACUGGGAUAACUUCGGGAAACCGGAGCUAAUACCGGAUAAUAUUUUGAACCGCAUGGUUCAAAAGUAAAAGACGGUCUUGCUGUCACUUAUAGAUGGAUCCGCGCUGCAUUAGCUAGUUGGUAAGGUAACGGCUUACCAAGGCAACGAUGCAUAGCCGACCUGAGAGGGUGAUCGGCCACACUGGAACUGAGACACGGUCCAGACUCCUACGGGAGGCAGCAGUAGGGAAUCUUCCGCAAUGGGCGAAAGCCUGACGGAGCAACGCCGCGUGAGUGAUGAAGGUCUUCGGAUCGUAAAACUCUGUUAUUAGGGAAGAACAUAUGUGUAAGUAACUGUGCACAUCUUGACGGUACCUAAUCAGAAAGCCACGGCUAACUACGUG
rnacentral:rRNA from 1 species